UUGCAGGGUUGCUUGAGAGAGACCAUCUUCAUCCUACGCCUCCCUCGGAUUGAUAAACCUUAGGUCACCCACUUGAGGGAAAAUUGCUAUUGUCCUACAAACCUCUGCACUUGGAGGCCCAACAAUGUCUACAAGGAGAAGGAUGCGUAGUAGACAUCAGUGCGCAAGGUGAUUUGGUCAGAAAAGGGUGUGAACCGGAUCGUGAUGCGACAGGGUAUGAACUGAAGAUGUUGCAACUCAAUGCACAAGCCUGCGACAUCAUCUUCAAAUGUCUAUUCCCU
rnacentral:lncRNA from 1 species